rnacentral:rRNA from 1 species
GACGAACGCUGGCGGCGUGCUUAACACAUGCAAGUCGAACGGUGAAGCGCCUUCCUUUUUGGUGGGUGUGGAUGAGUGGCGAACGGGUGAGUAACACGUGAGUAACCUGCCCCCUUCUUCUGGAUAACCGCAUGAAAGUGUGGCUAAUACGGGAUAUUCUGGGUCUGUCGCAUGAUGGGUCUGGGAAAGAUAUUGUUUCGGUGGGGGAUGGGCUCGCGGCCUAUCAGCUUGUUGGUGGGGUGAUGGCCUACCAAGGCGGUGACGGGUAGCCGGCCUGAGAGGGUGGACGGUCACACUGGGACUGAGACACGGCCCAGACUGCUACAGGAGGCAGCGGAGGGGAAUAUUGCACAAUGGGGGCAAGCCUGAUGCGGCGACGCCGCGUGAGGGAUGGAGGCCUUCGGGUUGUGAACCUCUUUCGCCAGUGAAGCAGGCCUGCCUCGUUUGUGGGUGGGUUGACGGUAGCUGGAUAAGAAGCGCCGGCUAACUACGUG